GCUAUCAUAGCUCAAUGGUAGAGCGAUUCACUUUUAAUGAAUGGUUCCAGGUUCGACUCCGGGCGGUAGCU
rnacentral:tRNA from 1 species